GGAGAUUCUGCCUCAUUACACGGCACUACCUUUCCUUUUUAUGUCUUCAGAUUGUGCUUUCCCUCCAGCAUACCAUUCCAGAGCAGAACCAGAGCCAAAGUGGGGACCAGCUGAGGCCAAAAUUGGACAGACUAAAGACCAAGAGUCAGAGGAAUUUCUUGCACUUUCGUUGCCUUUCUCUGUACCUAUUGAACUUGCUCUCUUUUUCUCUCCAUCUCUGUUUUUCUGCAAAGCAAUUCCACCUAUACAGUCUAUUUAUACUCCAUUAUAGUCCAUACCACUUUAGAUAUCACUUUAACUGCAGUAGCACCACCCUGAAUAUUUCACAGGUAUGUAGACUUCUUUGCUAGAGCAUCCAGGACAAUACACUUCCCCAGACUAAAAACAGUAACACUGUUGUUUGGAGCUACACAAAAUAUGCUCCUUCUACUAUUUUAAAGGAUACAUUACCGCAAAGCCUG
rnacentral:lncRNA from 11 species